UACAGAGGGGGCAAGCGUUGUUCGGAAUUACUGGGCGUAAAGGGCGCGUAGGCGGCCUUCUAAGUCGAACGUGAAAUCCCUGGGCUCAACCCAGGAACUGCGUCCGAUACUGGAAGGCUUGAAUCCGGGAGAGGGAUGCGGAAUUCCAGGUGUAGCGGUGAAAUGCGUAGAUAUCUGGAGGAACACCGAUGGCGAAGGCAGCCCCCUGGGCUAACACUGACGCUCAUGCACGAAAGCGUGGGGAGCAAACAGG
rnacentral:rRNA from 1 species